GACGUAGGGGGCCAGCGUUGUUCGGAAUUACUAGGUGUAAAGGGUACGUAGGCGGUUUGGCAAGUCUUGUGUGAAAUCUUUGGGCUCAACCCAAAGUCUGCACAAGAAACUGCCGGGCUUGAGUAUGGAGAGGUGAGUGGAAUUUCCGGUGUAGCGGUGAAAUGCGUAGAUAUCGGAAGGAACACCUGUGGCGAAAGCGGCUCACUGGACCAUUACUGACGCUGAGGCACGAAAGCUAGGGGAGCAAACAGG
rnacentral:rRNA from 1 species